UGGGCCUCCUGAAAUAUGUUUACUUUCAGAGUCAGGCUUAAAAAUCUCCUGUGGGAAUAACUAAGGGAAUGUCUUUUUUUCAGAAACGUUGUGUGUGCGGUGCUGAGAAUGUGCAAACCCACUUUGUAAAUGAUACGUGUUUCAGGGGGAAAAAAUGUCAGUUCUCCCAAUGACAAGUAGGUCAUGCCGUCUUAGUAUUUAAGGAAAUUCUAGAAGCUCCCCGCCAAACCCUUCCCCCGGCUCCGAGGCGGAGAGUGUCCUGCACAGACAGACCAGGAGCCACCUUCGCCAGGAGCCCCUCUCCCUUAUUCUCUCUGUAUUGUAGGUCACACGCCUCCCUCAGCUAUUUUUCUUCUGAAAUCCAACUGAUUUCCUCAAAAUCCAGUUUACCUGGAAUAAGCAGUUUGGUUAAUCAAACACUCUGAACCUUGGGAAGCCAGUCCCUUCGAAGGCCUGGUAAUCACCGGAGAGGAGAGAAGUAACUCCCUGAGAAAAGCCAACGAUUCGAAUGGAACUUUCAUGUUAUUGCUCUGACAAAUGAAGAGAGCUGGAGUUGAUAUCUUCUUGCUUAAAAGCACAUUUUCCUCUUGACUGAAAGGCUGUUUGCUAAGGAGAGAGUUGAAGACAGCAGUUUGAUGGACUGAAGAAGAAGGAAUGACAAGCGAGAUUCAAAUAUACCCAGGAGUUUUAUCACUUCUUCUCGAUUCAGACUAGGAGAAGAAUCAGCAGCUGGAGGGG